CUCUUCAACUUGUUGCGGGCAUAUGAAGUGGAUAUGCGAAUCGAUGCCUCCAGCAGUGAUGAUCUUUUUUUCUCCCGCGAUGACAUCAGUAUUGCUUCCUAUAGUCAUCCCAGGAGUAACGCCAUCCAUGACAUCCUCAUUGCCAGAUUUUCCGAUAGCAACAAUCAUUCCAUUGGUGAUCCCUAUAUCCGCCUAUCGUCAGAUAAGCAGCGUCGUUGAAACGAAAGAACAAGCCUUGUAGAUCCCGGUAUAAUCUACAAUCAAUGCGUUCGUGAUAACCAAAUCCAAGCAGUCUUUAUCAGUCCGUCCACUAGCUUGCCCCAUUCCAUCUCGAA
rnacentral:sRNA from 1 species